GAGAAAGCAGGAGAUGAGCAAGCAUGGGCCAAACAAUUGGUCAAGGAGAUUAAGUUUAUAUAUUUGACAAUGAGAAAGUACAUUAGGAAUAACUAACGCCCAUGAUUUUCAAACUGUGCUUUACAGAAACUUCAAUACUUGGAGAAGAGGGCAAGGGUUGGGGGUAGGCAUGGGGAAGGCUCCAGCUGAGCUGUAUGCUUUUACUCAUUUAACAUAUUGGGCCUCCCUGUAAGAUUUAAUUAAACCAAGGCUUUCAGUGCCAAACAUCUUUUUAAAAACCACAAAUUUAUAGCUCUGCUUCUCCUUAGGAUGUAGAAAGCUGCAAGAGAAGCUUCCACCUCAACAAGAAAAAGCUGGAUAAUCUACAAAACCAUAACUUUUCUUGAGUACAUCAAAGAGCUGAGGUCAUAAUGCAACCAAGGAACUCCAAAGAGCAACAAAUCCCUUUAAGGAGAGAGGGAACACUGUUUCACCCUUGUCAGAGCACAGAAGGAAGAGGUGGCUGCCAUACAUCACGAUGUGGAUCCAUUUGGCAUGGAGGCAGGAAAAAUCAAAGAUCUGACAACUGAUUCUGCCUUUCAUGAUAAAAAGAUGGUUCCUUGAUGGGCAGAACACAGAUACGGCAUACCAGAAUGAAAGCAGCAACUGUCGGCCACAUUUCCUGCAGUUAGAGUAAUUUACUAUCAUUGCUCAUCUCCAGGAUGUGGGAGUUUGACCCUAGAGAGAACAGGUAAUUUAUUUUUGAAUUUGAAUAGAAGAUGAAAGGGGGUUAGUGAUGUUAACAUUUGCAUGCCGACAGAUGUGUCAGCAAAUGGCAAAGAGGUUCAUUAUUGGAAUGUGACCCUUGAAAGUGUCAUAUUGACAAUGCCACAGAAAAUCACUGCUGCAUGGACCAGGAAUCAGGCAAUCAAAUUAGGUUAGUUAGGGGCUUCCCUGGUGGCGCAGUGGUUGAGAGUCCGCCUGCCGAUGCAGGGGACACGGGUUCGUGCCCUGGUCCAGGAAGAUCCCACAUGCCGCGGAGCGGUUAGGCCCGUGAGCCAUGGCCGCUGAGCCUGCGCGUCCGGAGCCUGUGCUCCGCAACGGGAGAGGCCAAAACAGUGACAGGCCCGCGUACAGCAAAAAAAAAAAAAAAAAAAUUAGGUUAGUUAGAUCCCAGCAGAAGUCAAAGAUCCUUCCACAUCUAUUUUAAUUCGUUCUCUCUACCUUAUUUCCUCUGGUCUUCAUAAUAGAUUGUUACAUAUUGAUCUCCCCAUUAGAAAACAAGCCCUCUGAACCAGCCCUCAGUUGUGAAUCAUUUCUGUAUUUCCCCCCAAUGUCAUCCAUAUAGAUGGUGUUAAGAUAAUAGCUUUGGAAAUUAUUUGGAUUUGUUCAUGUUCUUUGUAGCUAUACCAUUUUAAAUUCCCUAACUAUAAAAUCCCAGAUAUGAUUUUUUUUUUAAAAAAAUGAGUACUUGUUGAGCACAAGAAAGAACAUAAAAUGGUAGAUUCUUUUUUUUAGGAUAAUCUUCAUUUUGAGAGAAAAGGUCCCUGGAAGAACAGAAUAAGGGGAGGAGAACUAAUAUUUAUUAAGAGCCUACUACGCACUGUGUAUAUGUUACUUCUGUUAAUCAGUAUAAGAAUCUUAAAAAUUUGGCAUAAUUAUCCCCAUUUGACAAAUUAGGAAAGUACAAAUGACUGUAUUGAGAGAACAAAUGAUUUGCCUUAGGUCUCACAGCAAGUAAGUGGGACUAGAAUGUGAGCCUGUGUUUACGCCAGAGUCGAAGCUCUUUCCACUACACCAAACCUUAUGAUAUUGAUCAGAAGACCAAAAACUCCCCUGGGUGUACCAGCCCCACCUGAUUCCU